ACAGCCCCGCGCGACGUUGCGUUUCGAAAACAUCAAUCGGCCGCGCCGCGGGGUCCGGUCCGGUCCGUCUCUUAUCGUUUAGGCGCCCGCCGUAAUGUCACUACGGACACUGUCACGUAAUGUUAUCCCUAAACUCUUCGACUUUUUGUCUUUUGUCGUCUACGGGAUAUACGCAUACGUAUAGGUAGGCAGGCGCACGCAUAGAACGGUCGACGAUUUCCGU